AUUGAACGCUGGCGGCAGUCCUAACACAUGCAAGUCGAACGAGUGGCGGACGGGUGAGUAAUGUCUGGGAAACUGCCCGAUGGAGGGGGAUAACUACUGGAAACGGUAGCUAAUACCGCAUACCAUCGGAUGUGCCCAGAUGGGAUUAGCUAGUAGGUGGGGUAACGGCUCACCUAGGCGACGAUCCCUAGCUGGUCUAAGAGGAUGACCAGCCACACUGUAACUGAGCCACGGUACAGACUCCUACGGGAGGCAGCAGUGGGGAAUAUUGCACAAUGGGAGCAAGCCUGAUGCAGCCAUGCCGCGUGUAUGAAGAAGGCAUUCGGGUUGUAAAGUACUUUCAGCGAGGAGGCGUUACUCGAAGAAGAAGCACCGGCGAACUCCGUGCCAGCAGCCGCGGUAAUUC
rnacentral:rRNA from 1 species